CGGGUAGCGGGCUCCGAAAGUGUGCAGCUGCCCGGGACCAUGGCGGUGCUUGCUGCUGGGGAUGGCGGUUUGCUCGGCCGGGCGACUAGUUCUGGCCUGGUCAGUCGGCGGCCGACAUCCUGUCUGGGGCGGCGUCCCACAGACGGUAAACGUACCUUCUGUGUGACUUCAACCCUCCAGAGGGCUUCAACCUCCGUAGGAACGUCUGCAUCCACAUUGCCUUCCUCCUGAAGACCCUGCUGAAGAUGGAGGAGCCGGUACUGGUGCUAUUCCCUUGGGGUCACCUCUACCACUGGCAGAGCCCCGACAUCAAUCAGGUCUGGAUUCCCUGGUCCAACUCCUUUGACCUCCCAAGUCUCAACAGAAACAUCCCUGACAUUGAGUACGAGCAGUUCAUUGCAGGUUCACUUGGUGAUAAUAAUCGUAACCAAAGCAACAGCAAACCCUUACAGAACUCUGUCCUGCUGUUCCAGGAACGCUGUGUUCAUGACAACCCAAUGAGUUGGCACCACUAUGAGUUCCACUUUAAAGCAGUGCCUGCCACCCUGGCCUCCCUGCUCAUCUGCCUCAAUCAGGAGCACCUGGACCACCAGCUCUGUAUUGCCUCACCUCCUACCAUCAAGACGUCAAAGUUCAUUCUCCCUCCACCACCCAGUAUGGUCAUUGUAGGGUCUUCUCCAUCAGCCUGAGCCAGCCACCCCCCAUUCACCCUACCCCCGGGCUCAUGCCCGGGCGUGUCUCCACCCCAGGUCCAGCCUCUCUCCUUUAAGUGCCCACCUCUAGCCGUCCAGCUGCUUCUCCACCAGCCUCCCUGUCCCUCCUUCACCUUCACUGGGGCAUCAUGCGCUGACUACUCUGCUUUCCUGCCUGUCCACGUUCCUCUUACUUCCACUUCCCCACCUUCCAGCUCUGCAUCCACAGUCAGCACUCUCUUUAUGACAGACAAAACCCCCUUGAGCCUUGACCUUUUCAGUUCCUCACCAGGCCGACUUCCAUCUCGGUUCACCCAGCUCUACUUGUUCUGAGCCUGCAGGCAGCAGGCUCUCCCAGCACAGAUUUCCAAGACUACAAAUCAAUGACCACCAUGUUGCCACUGCCAGGCAAUCCUCCAGGAUUUCUCUAGUGAGCACAUUUCCCCACUUAUCACUCAGUGGUAUCAACAUUCUCUGCUCUCUGCACACCUCUAACCUUCCCUCUGUCUCUUCCCUGACUCCCAGCAGAUGGCCUUGCCUCCUGCUUCAGAGAGAAUGACAUGUCACUGGAAAGGAACUUGCUCACCUGCAGCAAAUCUGCUCACCUCACCUUUUAUUUGUCCCUCUCCCACCUGGACUCUAGCUGUAGUUGUUCUUAAUUCAGUGAGUUUAGUUGACAUAUAUAUACACAGUUAAAAGCAUAGCACACUAUCGGCUACCUUCUAGGGCUUACUUUUUCAAUUUAACAUGGAGUGUGUGAUUCAUCCACUUCAUUGCAUGUACCUGCAGUUCAUUUGUUUUAACUGAUCUUAAAUGUUGUGUGUGUGAAUGUAACACAAGGCAAGGGUAAGCCAGGAUUCAGGAUGCUGGUUACUUCCUGUGAGAAGAGGCCAAGAGCAGGACAGGGAAAGAGGACACAGUAUGUCACUGUCAAUAUUCCUGUUAUGAUGCUGGGUGAUAGGUUCAUAACUGUGUCUUAUAAUAUUAAUUUUAAUACAUAAAUACCUCUGACAGGCACCUAAGAUGAGAAUGUGUCAUGAACCAAGACAUACAAUGGGUAAUAUUACAUCAUUAUUAUUAUGUAAUCUUGUUAUAUUAUAUAUUAAUCAUAAUCUUACAUUAUUUGUUAUGGGUUAUAUAUUAUAUAGAUGCAUGAAUUUAUAUUAUGUAUAUAAACACCUACAUAUGUAUUAUAUACUAUCUGCUAAUAA